UAUUUGCAGAGAGGAUGGUUUUUUCUGUUUGCUCUCACAGAGGCUUCAGGUCACUUUCGCUCCUGUGUCUUUUCUUUCUUUCUUGUAUACUACUACUUGAUUGCUGCCUCUUAGUUUUGGUCGUCAUUUUUGUUUGAACCAAUAGUUUUAAUCCGAUUGGCUCAUCAUCAUCCGUCACACCGGAGGAUUCAGAGGUUCGGAUCCAAGUUUCCUCGGGAUUCGAGUCUGAAUGGGAGAGUUAGCUAUAAUAAGCCUACUGUGGGUGGUGGGUAUCCCACGAUGUCGUCCGUAGGUUUCGCACGCCAAAGUCCUCCGAGCUUCCAUGAUGAGCUAGAAGAGCCCCCACUAUGGUUGAGCCUUGUUAGGGACAUUGUCGGGAGCACGAGAUCUGUCUUUCUCCUUUAUGGCUGAGCAGCCGAGCCAGCUUAAUUCAUAGAGUGGCCCUAGUUUUACAACCACGCUCAAGACUGCCACACUUAGUCUCUUUCUUGUAGCUGUCUUCAUUGUUGCUCUAUCCUCGUGGACUCUGCUCUUUGUUACGUUUUGGCUCUCAUCUUGAGAAAUCCCUAUGAAUGCACUAUGUGUGAGAGAGAGAGAGAGAGUGUCAGGAAGGCAAAUUCCAUUUUCAUGUUGUAACCUGCAACAAAAGGUUAAUGCUGUCUGUCAUUGUUUAGAACGAAGUAUUAACUCCUCCUCUCUUAAUCAAAAUUCUGCAUCUCAAUUUCAUU